UUGUGUAUCCCUUCAUACGCUCCCAUGCAUCAUACAAACUCUCUUCUUUGCCUUGCUCGAAUCUAGUGAUAUCAUUCC
rfam:Arabis alpina cultivar Pajares Aa.chr8_contig_2794, whole genome shotgun sequence.